GGAUUAGAUACCCUGGUAGUCCACGCCGUAAACGAUGAGCACUAGGUGUUGCGGGUAUUGACCCCUGCAGUGCCGUAGCUAACGCAUUAAGUGCUCCGCCUGGGGACUACGGCCGCAAGGCUAAAACUCAAAGGAAUUGACGGGGGCCCGCACAAGCGGUGGAGUAUGUGGUUUAAUUCGACGCAACGCGCAGAACCUUACCCGGGCUUGACAUCGAGGGAGAGGCCCUUAGAAAUAAGGGCCCUCAUCUUCGGAUGACCCAAAGACAGGUGCUGCAUGGCUGUCGUCAGCUCGUGCCG
rnacentral:rRNA from 1 species